UAACGAGUCAGAGCAGGCAGGAAAACGAUGGACUGAGUUUAACAGAAGGGUUUUCAGGUCUUGGCAGCCAUGCUGAUGAGAUGGAUCUGGUUUAUUGUUCCCAUGUCGUUUUGCAUUGAACAAGACCCGUUCUCAGUGGUGGUUCCUCGGGCUCCGGUCUACGGUCUGCUCGGGAGCUCCGUGACUCUACCCUGCUCUAUC